AUGGUCUCCCUGCCCAACUUCCAUCCACAAGGAUGAUGCUCGCGGGCGGGGUCUCAGUAUCUGAAACCCCAAGCGUGACCUCCUCUAGCGACCCAACCCUUAAAGCCCCAGCACCCAACCAGCUCCUCCCGCUUUGCUUAAGCAGGCACAACGGAGGGGGCCGAGGAGCCAUUCAGGGUGUCCUCUUGGAUCCCCAGCUGAAGACAGGCUCAGUCCCUUUUCCUGGAAGAUCUGCAGAAAGUCCUGGAAGUGGCACGAAUCUGGUUGCUCCCCAGAAACUGUCUUCAGGUUUCCCCUUACCCUCCUCCUACUCUGCUUUUGCAGAGACCAACCAUAAGUGCAAGCCGGACAGGACUAAGUCAUUUCCCACAGAGAGCGCUCCCCUCCCCCUCUCCUCAAUACAAAUAAUUAACUUCAGAUACUCAGAUGCCAGGACAGCCUCUGCUUCACCGCUACUUAGGACUCCUUGGCAGGGACCACAGAAGGACCCGGCCCAGUUCAGCAAUCCCUGUCUGGCCGCCCUGCCCCCACCCUGCUCGCCCACCGACGGGGAGGACGGAGAGAGAGCACCAAGGCCGGCCAGCGACGCGCAACCCAGGCGGGGAUGGAGAAGUGGUCUGGCCCGGUCCGACGGUCUGCUGGGCUGAGCCAUAAGUUGGGGCACACCCAGGACGCUCCGACUCACCCCGCGCGGCCAGCGCCAGGCUCCCGAGGUGCAGGAGCAGUGGUAGCAACGCCGCCCGAGCCCCCGCCAUGCUCGCUCGACCCGCCUCGCUUUAGGGAAUCCAACGCCCACCUCUGACCUCCCCAGCACCAGGCACGUAUGUGAUGUAUGUUAACAUAGUUCUCUCUCGUCCUUGCUUGCUUCCUUCCUUCCUUCCUUCCUUUCUCUCUUUCUUUCCUUCUUUCUUUUGUUCUGUUUUAUUGGGCUCGUAUACCUGUUUCCCUUCCAACCUUUGCUCCACCCUAAUCCCGUCUAAGCCCCCCAAACUAAAUAUAUAACCCCUAACUUCCCGCAGGGCCUCUGUUAUCCCGUUUAUAAGCAGUGGAACCAGCAUCCACAGUACAGUGAGCAGCAGACAAAGUCACCUAAAUUAAGAAUCCAGGGAGCUGAACUGCAAGAAGCCUGCUAUGGAAAUUGGUGUGGUGGCAUACACCCGCAAUGCCAGCUUUCCCAGUUGAAGCAAGGAGAUGGGAGGAUUCAAGGCCACCAUAAGCUACAAGAGCAGGGGCUUCGGUGAGCAUCUGACAUCGUCCAUGUGUGACAGGGAUGGGACCAUCUCACUUCAGGGAUGGAAAGCUGGCUCCAGCACAGGAGGCGUGUCAUGUCUCACAAUUCCUGGGAUUUGAUGCCCCAUUGGACUCACAACCUGAUGUCACACUCGCAAGUUCCCAGACAAACAGGCCAGUCCAGAGAACCUGCAAAGCCCAGGCCAGAGAAAAUGGGGUUGGGCAACAACGGCAGCUGGCAUUUCUCAGGCCCUGUCUAAAGUGGGCUGGCCUCGAGAUGACUGGAGUGUGCUUAGCUUCUCCUUAAGUCACUGUCAUUUACACUGGGUUUCUUUCGGUUCCCUCUUCCUCUAACUCUCUCUGUGCCUUUACUUGGACCAUGGCUUUGCCCAAAGCCAACAAAGUUACUUCUUAUCACAAGCUCAUCUGUGACAGCGUCAUACCACUGGUGGGGGAGUCACCGGACCUCCUGAUGCCCUCCUAGGACUAUGGAGUCUUUCUGCACCCUGUUGGGCCCCCCUGAAUGAGCAGGGGGAACUGAGAUUAAUUUUAAGCAUCAGAGUGGGGCCUCACUUCCCUUUUGCCCGUGACAGUGCACAGGAGCCUAGGGGACUCUUCGUUCUUGGAAUAGCUGGAGUUCUGUUCACUGAAUGAGCACUACCCCUUUCCUUCCUCCAGAAACAGGUCUCUGGCUCAGGGCAGUUUUUGGCUAAGGGGCUCCUUGUCAGGGAAGACAGGAUCUGAAUGGAGCAGAAUCUUUUCGGAGCCCCGUUUAUCUUAUGGCCUGCCGCUGAGUUUAGGCCUCAGCUGCCCCAGUGCAGACAUGCGCCACUGUGACUGGAUCCACCCAGAGUUUUAAUUUUAAAAAUGUGAAACAGAAGGACACAUGGCUCAGUGAUAGAGUGCCUAGCAUAUAUGAGAGGGUAAUAUAUUCAGCAGAUACAAAUAAUAUAUUUCCAUUUUAUAUUCAGCUACAGUGAAAGGAGGGGGAGAUAUAUAGAGAGAAGGAAAACAAAAACAAACCCACUGGAUUCUCUCUGCUCAUUGAAGUCUAAUCCAGACAUCCCUGGGAAGGCAGCAGAGGUUAAGGAAGAAGCCACAAUUCUAAUUAAUUAAUACCACGGUAUCUGUCAGCAAUCUAAGGCUUUAAAUGUAGAGGGUAAACAGUAUGUCUACAAUGUAUAUAUUUUA